rnacentral:rRNA from 1 species
UACGUAGGGACCAAGCGUUGUUCGGAUUUACUGGGCGUAAAGAGCGCGCAGGCGGUCGUUCAAGUCGAGUGUGAAAGCCCCCGGCUCAACUGGGGAGGGUCAUUCGAUACUGUCCGACUCGAAGGCAGGAGAGGGAAGCGGAAUUCCCGGUGUAGUGGUGAAAUGCGUAGAUAUCGGGAGGAACACCAGUGGCGAAGGCGGCUUUCUGGCCUGUUCUUGACGCUGAGGCGCGAAAGCCAGGGGAGCAAACGGG